rnacentral:piRNA from 1 species
UGAUCAUAUUAACUGAUGUAUUUGGGAGCC